UACGUAGGGGGCAAGCGUUGUCCGGAAUCAUUGGGCGUAAAGAGCGUGUAGGCGGUCCGGUAAGUCCGCUGUGAAAGUCGGGGGCUCAACCCUCGAAUGCCGGUGGAUACUGUCGGGCUAGAGUGCGGAAGAGGCGAGUGGAAUUCCUGGUGUAGCGGUGAAAUGCGCAGAUAUCAGGAGGAACACCGGUGGCGAAGGCGGGUCUCUGGGCCGAUGACUGACGCUGAGGAGCGAAAGCAUGGGUAGCGAACAGG
rnacentral:rRNA from 1 species